GUGCCAGCAGCCGCGGUAACACGGGGGGAGCAAGCGUUGUUCGGAUUCAUUGGGCGUAAAGAGCUCGUAGGCGGCUCUGUAAGUCGGACGUUAAAUCCCAUGGCUCAACCAUGGACAAGCGUUCGAAACUGCGGAGCUUGAGGCUGGGAGAGGAGAUCGGAAUUCCUGGUGUAGCGGUGAAAUGCGUAGAUAUCAGGAGGAACACCGGUGGCGAAGGCGGAUCUCUGGACCAGUUCUGACGCUCAGGAGCGAAAGCUAGGGGAGCAAACAGGAUUAGAAACCCCCGUAGUCC
rnacentral:rRNA from 1 species